CCCUGCAAUGUACCCCAGAGAUUGUUCCUGCAACAUUGAGGAGAAGUCGUCCCGAAACUGGCCGACCCAGGCCUAAAGGUCUAGAAGGCGAGAGACCUGCCAGAUUGUCCCGUGGUGAGACUGACAGAGAUACAUACAGACGUAGUGCUGCUCCACCUGGGGCAGAUAAGAAGGCAGAGGCUGGUGCUGGAGCAGCAACAGAAUUUCAGUUUAGAGGAGGAUUUGGACGUGGUCGUGGACAGCAGCCCCCACAGUGAAACUGAUUACUUUCUUUUGUGAAUAAUAAACCUUUGUGAACAACAACAAAAAUAAAAAUAAA